UUUGCCUCUGUAGGUUCUGGUGA
rnacentral:siRNA from 1 species